rnacentral:pre_miRNA from 1 species
AGUGCAAUUGUUGGGUCGUAGGGUAGUUCUAUUUUUUGAGGAACAUCCAUACUGUUCUCCAGAGUGGCUGCACCAGCUUGCAUUCCCACCAACAAU